AGAGGAGGCGUGGGCGGCUCCGGGACCACGGAGCCUGGUGACGCGGCGCUCCCCUGCCCGGGUCGGGUUGCCCAGGCGCCGCCGCGGCGGCUGCUGCUGCUGCUGCCGCUGCUGCUGGGUAGGGGACUUCGAGUAACGGCCGAGGCCUCGGCCUCCUCCUCUGGGGCGGCGGUCGAGAACAGCAGCGCCAUGGAGGAGCUCGUCACUGAGAAGGAGGCGGAAGAGAGCCACCGGCCAGACAGUGUGAGCCUGCUCACCUUCAUCCUGCUGCUCACGCUGGCCAUCCUCACCAUAUGGCUCUUCAAGUACUGCCGGGUGCACUUUCUGCAUGAGACCGGGCUGGCCAUGAUCUGUGGGCUCAUCGUUGGGGUGAUCCUGAGGUAUGGUACCCCUGGCACCAGGGGCCGUGACAAAUUACUCAAUUGCACUCAAGAAGAUCAGGCCUUCAGCACUUUAGUAGUGGAUGUCAGCGGUAAAUUCUUCGAAUACACCCUGAAAAGAGAAAUCAGCCCUGGCAAGAUCAACAGCGUAAAGCAGAAUGACAUGCUAGGGAAGGUAACAUUCGACCCAUAGGUAUUUUUCAACAUUCUUCUGCCUCCAGUUAUUUUCCAUGCUGGAUACAGCUUAAAGAGACACUUUUUUAGAAAUCUUGGGUCACUCCUUCUUGGGGACUGCUGUUUCGUGCUUCCGUAUUGGAAAUCUCAGGUAUGGUAUGGUGAAGCUCAUGAGGAUUAUGAGACAGCUCUCAGAUAAAUUUUACUACACACAUUGUCUCUUUUUUAGAGCAAUCAUCUCUGCCACUGACCCAGUGACUGUGCUGGUGAUAUCAAUGAAUUGCAUGCAGACAUGGAUCUUUAUGUACUUCUGUUUGGAGAGAGCAUCCUAAAUGACGUUGUUAUGUUGUACUUUCCUCAUCUAUUGUUGGCUACCAGCCAGCAGGACUGAACUUCAACUCACGCCUUUGAUGCUGCUGCCUUUUUAAAGUCAGUUGGCAUUUUUCUAGGUAUAUUUAGUGGCUGUUUUACCAUGGGAGCUGUGACUGGUGUUGUGACUGCUUUAGUGACCAAGUUUACCAAACUGGACUGCUUUCCCCUGCUGGAGACGGCGCUCUUCUUCCUCAUGUCCUGGAGCACGUUUCUCUUGGCAGAAGCUUGCGGAUUUACAGGCGUUGUAGCUGUCCUUUUCUGUGGAAUCACACAAGCUCAUUACACCUUCAACAAUCUGUCGGUGGAAUCAAGAAGUCGAAGCAAGCAGCUCUUUGAGGCAGAGAACUUCAUCUUCUCCUGCAUGAUCCUGGCGCUAUUUACCUUCCAGAAGCACGUUUUCAGCCCUGUUUUCAUCAUUGGAGCUUUUGUUGCUGUCUUCCUGGGCAGAGCCGCCCAUAUCUACCCGCUCUCUUUCUUCCUCAGCUUGGGCAGAAGGCAUAAGAUUGGCUGGAAUUUUCAACACACGAUGAUGUUUUCAGGCCUCAGGGGAGCAAUGGCAUUUGCGUUGGCCAUCUGUGACACGGCAUCCUAUGCUCGCCAGAUGACGUUCCCCACCACGCCUUUCAUCGUGUUCUUCACCAUCUGGAUCAUUGGAGGAGGCACGACACCCAUGUUGUCAUGGCUUAAUAUCAGAGUUAGCAUCAAGGAGCCCUCCAAAGAGGACCACAACGAACACCACCGACAGUACUUCAGAGUUGGUGUUGACCCUGAUCAAGAUCCACCACCCAACAAUGACAGCUUUCAAGUCUUACAAGGGGACAGCCCAGAUUCUGCCAGAGGAAACUGGACAAAACAGGAGAGCACAUGGAUAUUCAGGCGGUGGUACAGCUUUGAUCACAAUUACCUGAAGCCCAUCCUCACACACAGCGGCUCCCCGCUAACCACCACUCUCCCGCCUGGUGGAGACACAGCGGCUCCCCGCUAACCACCACUCUCCUGCCUGGUGUAGACAAAGCGGCUCCCCGCCAACCACCACUCUCCCGCCUGGUGUAGCUUGCUAGCUUGAUGUCUGACCAGUCCCCAGGUGUACGAUAACCAAGAGCCACUGAGAGAGGGAAACUCUGAUUUUAUUCUGACUGAAGGCGACCUCACAUUGACCUAUGGGGACAGCACAGUGACUGCAAAUGGCUUCUCAGGUUCCCACACUGCCUCCACGAGUCUGGAGGGCAGCUGGAGAAUGAAGAGCAGCUCAGAGGAAGUGCUGGAGCAGGACGUGGGAAUGGGAAACCAGAAGGUUUCGAGCCAGGGUACCCGCCUAGUGUUUCCUCUGGAAGAUAAUGUUUGACUUUCCCUGCAAACCCUGGCACGAUGGGGUAGGCUCCCAAUGGGGUGAGGAUGGCUUCAAGCCCUAAUGUUGCUUGAGGUGGGGCAGUGACUAGAUUGAAUUAACUCUUCUAUUUUAUUGGGGUCUGAAGUUAUUGUAACACUUAAAAUUUAACUCAUGAUGCAGAUGGUGAGGCAAAAGUGUCUCUAAAUUCAGACAAAUGUAGACCUAUUUCUACUUUUUUUCACACAGUAGUGCGCUGUUUCAGAGUUAAACAAACAAAAAAAUAGCAUACUUUAAUGGUCUCUUAAUUCAUUCACCUGCAGUGUCUGAACAAGGCAGGGCAGGUGCUGAGUGGGGGGCUUCCUCUUACAAGAGGUUGCAUCUCAGUACACAGUGGUGCAAGUCAAGCUGACCAUAGAAAUAUCAAGUUAGGGGAGAACAGGCUGGAAGAAAGAUUGAGAAGGAAGGCAAUUGAGAUAGGACCUCCAAGGAUUAUGGGAAACUGUUGUUAAAUGGAACAGAAAACAUGAAAAAAUAAUAUGAGUGGAGGCUCUGGCAAGGAAGGCUGUGUGACUGCAACCUCAUAUCAGGAUUCCUGACUUUUAUGCUACCUGUGUUUCUUCUAGACUGAAGAUUUGAAAAUAUAUCCAUGAACAUUUCAACAUGAAACAAAGAAUUAUAGUUCCUUCUCUGGAGAUGUCCAUAAAGAAGUAAUUAUGAUAUGUUUAAAACCAGACCGGGUGUGGGGGCUCACGCCUGUAAUCCCAGCACUUUGGGAGGCCGAGGCCGGCGCAUCAUCUGAGGUCAGGAGUUCAAGACCAGCCUGGCCAACAUGGUGAAACCCCGUCUCUACUAAAAAAUACAAAUAUUAGCCAGGCGUGGUGGCAAGCACCUUAAUCCCAGCUACUUGGGAGGCAGAGGCAGGAGAAUCGUUUGAACCCAGGAGGCUGAGGUUGCAGUGAGCCCAGAUAAAGCCACUGCACUCAAACGUGGGGAACAAGAGUGAGACUUCUCUCAAAAAAUAAAUAAAUAAAUAAAAUAAUAUAAAAUAAA